GACCGGUUUCUGGGUAGAGGCAUAUGUUGAAUUUUCUAUCAUUUUAGUUCAUCUUAUCUAAGUCUUCCACUUAAAUCUCAUAUUCCGCUGUUAUUUAAAUAUUCAUUGCUUGUUGCCAUAUGUGGUAAAAAGAAUUUAAAACAAAAGAGUUAAGAAUUUAUAAUUUCGUGGCUUGCCUGAGUAGGUGUCAUCACGACUCCCAAAGAUGUAAAAUCCGAAUAGUGACAAAGGAAAUAUUUAAGUUCCUUUAAUCAAUUUUCCCAUAACCCCCAACAGAAACGCUCACAAAGACAUAUUCAUUCAAGUUAUGACAUUGCACACUAAACCAAGAUCUGGAAAAAUACAUACGAGAACAUACCUAAACAACAAAUCAACAAAAAUUUUGAAUUGAAACGGAAACUUCAGCAAAUAACAGUCCCAAAUCAUAGGAAGAAAAAUUUGACCCAAGCAAAUCAAUAAGCAGCAGCCAAACGAACACAGCUUCGAUUUUAAAUUAUUCGAAUCCAAACUAUGAAGCAAUCUACCCAAAUUCUACUGUUUUUCCAUUUUUUUGAUUUGUGAGUUUAAGAUCUCCAUUCAAGUUUUCCAACUCGGUUUCAGCUGUGCACGUCCGUAAGUAAGGGAAUGACGCUUUUUGCUAACUUCCAUGGAGAUGGGGGUUUAGCCACUUAUGGCUGAUGCCAUUAUUAAAAAAGAAAAAGAGAGGGGGUGAUGAGAAAAAAUUGACGGCUGAGCUAUUAGGAGUGAGAGAGAUGGAGUAGCUGCUACUAGAUUUUUUGUAUGUUUUUGGGGUGUUCGCUGGAAUUUUUCUCCGAUGAAGAAAGAAGAAAAGGGGUCUCUUUUAGAGAGGCGUCGUUUCUUGUAUUUGCUAAAGGUAAGGGAUCUAAUGAUAUUAGGUUUUAUUAGCUUU
rnacentral:lncRNA from 1 species